GUCUACUGCCAUACCACCCUGAACAGGCCCGAUCUCAUCUGAUUUCAGAAGCUAAGCAGGGUUGGGCCUGGUUAGUACUUGGAUGGGGAAAUGAGAGAUUAAGUGAAAAUAUGAGUGGUGGAAU
rnacentral:rRNA from 1 species